UACGAGGGGGGCAAGCGUUGUUCGGAUUUAUUGGGCGUAAAGGGUGCGUAGGCGGUUUGGCAAGUCUUGUGUGAAAUCUUUGGGCUCAACCCAAAGUCUGCAUAAGAAACUGCCGGGCUUGAGUAUGGGAGAGGUGAGUGGAAUUUCCGGUGUAGCGGUGAAAUGCGUAGAUAUGUCACAGAACACCAAUUGCGAAGGCAGCUUACUAAAGUAUGAUUGACGCUGAGGCACGAAAGCGUGGGGAUCAAACAGG
rnacentral:rRNA from 1 species